GGGAGGAGCCAGCUGGGUUCCUCCCUGGGGGAGGGGCUGCCUGCUGGGUGAUGUCCAGGUGGACCACCCAGGAGGUGUGGGCAAGGUCGGGGGACGUUCUUCAUGACUGCUGUGAGCACACAUCUCCCCCUGCAACAUGGUUUCCAUCACCCUGACAGGGAAAACCUCGAACUUAGAAUCUGGGGGUUCUCAUGAAACACUGCCUGCGCGUUUAAGCCAGUGCUUCUGAAGCCAGGCAAACAAAAUCGCCAAAGAACAACAGUUGCCAGGUUUCACUCUGGAAGCGAUUUUCCCGUGGUGGCUUUAACAAUGGACUCAAUCACUAGAAACCCCCGCGCAGGGUUAGAAACUCCAUGUGCUAUCUGUUAACACUGCCCUUCACCUUCUGGGCCUCUGCCCCAGGCCUGGCCACACAGACUCCUUCUCGGGCCAGAACGAGAUUUCCAACGUGUGACUCAGCAUGGGGCUUAGGUCCAGGCAGCGGACAGCAUUGUUUCUUGUCUAGUUUCUCCUUGAGAGAAGGAAGUUUCCCUCCUAACUUUACAUCAGCUUUUGACUUCUGCUGAGGCUCCUAUUAAGCCCCCAGAUUGGGUCCCUGGACUGCUCUCCCCCUCCUGGACAUGUUUGCUUCACAGCUUCUGUGUAAAUGACUCCUGGAUCCCAGCACCAGUCUCCUUCCUGUGGACCGCGGGGAGAUGUCCGGCUCACAGUUAUCAUCAUCCUGCACCAAAUGCAUCGUCUCUAAGUCAGACUGCCUGCCUGGAUUCCGCUCUUUCCCCUUAACGUGGCUGCUCUUAGAUGCCACGCUGCGUUCAGCCACCUGAGCUUCCAAGCUAGAUCCGUGCAUCAGCCGUUCAGCGCAGGUCCUCAGAAGCUUCUGUCCUGCGCAGGUCCCCCUCUCGCAGCCCCUCAUGGCUGAGCAGCGGGACUCCCCCGCGAUCCACCCUCAAAGUCAUCUCCCUGCUUCCUGUGCUUUUUAAGACAAGGCUCUGCAAAGUUAAUCGGGCCGGGCCAGCCUACAGCCUGCCACCCUUCUGCCUCAGCCUCUUAGACAGUGUCUUGAAAUUUUCACAGUAGCUUAAUGGGUCCUAUUAAUUCACCGCUCGGAUCCUGUUUCUUUCUUGCUAAAAACUGUGUCAGAGCUCCUCUCUUCCCUAUCGAAGGACCCAUCCUUCAUCCCUGAAAGAAAGCCGCUCCCAAGACAAGGCCUCUUGAUGCGACAGACGCCAUCCUCUUCCCUUAUGUUAUAUUUUAGGCACAGUGAGUAGAAUUCUCCAUUUUCGGACUGUGGCUCUUCCCCGAGAUUCAUUCCUUCAAACGCCCAAACCCCAUCCCCAACCUUCCAGGUUUCUGCCAUUUCUCCCCUCCUCGCCUUGCGGAAACCUUAGCACACACUGAGCCUUCAUUUGUGGGGCGCGCCCUUAAAGGUGUGUGUAUUUGUACCUGAUUCAGUUCAAGCUACUUGAACAUAGGCUCUUAGGCCUCGCCGACGCCGGAGGGCGAAUGCUGACCCUGUGCUCCCUGGCCCCGAGUCCCAGCAGUGCUGGCCUUUAACGGCCUCGCUCUCCCUCCUCUUCCUAUAAUCAGACACAGGCAGUAAACGCGGCGCGGAAGGAACCACGCCCCUCCCCCAAGCCCCGCUCAUUUUGUGCUUUGUGGGAGGCAAAAGCGAAUUUCCAACAUUCAGGUCAACAUCAACUUAGAAUGAUUUCUGCCAGUUGGAAAAGAAAACUUUGAAAAAGAGAUUUAACUUGAUUUUCCUUUUUUUAACUUGGGAAAAAUUUGAAAGAUAUAACCUUUCAAGGAAAUAGGAUACUACACACACACACACACACACACACACACACAGAGCCUGGCUUUAUGUAGUUCAAUCCUGUCAAGCUAAUCUAAUCUUUUGUGACACAGCAGCAGACUUGGUAGAUCAAGGGGGAAAACAAUAGUUGGAAUUUAUCUUUGCUGGCUUAGAAACUUUUGAUUCCUGGGUCCCACUCAAUAUGAUUAUAAUUAAACGGGUUGAAAUGUUAGAGAGAGGGACAGGACCAGUCCCGGCUGAGGGCAGAAGUGGUGCUCCCUAGGGGGCGAGGCUUGAGCCCAGUGGCCCUGGACCCCCACGUGAAUGGAUCAAAUGACAGGCCAAAGAACAUAUUCAAAGCCACAUGAAUGUCAGGGUGUGUGUGUGUCUGUGUAUGGGGGGCGAGGUACAGCUGAACAACCAGCCAGAGAAACCACCUCGAAAUUACCAAGUGGUCAAAACAAGUGUGGGAGGCUGAUUAGAAGAGAUUUCAAGUUCAGGAAAAACAACAGCACACAAAUACACUAAUCAGCAAAGUAGCGCUGUACUAAAUGUGAUACCGGGAGGGGAAAGAUAACAUGCAGGAAUCCUGCAGCUCUAAACUUGCAUGAACUGUUCCCCUUUCUAAACUCCGCGGCCAGACAUGGGAAGGAGCAUUUGGACAGCAUUCAGGGGAGAGCUCCGGAAGUCAACUGGGCUGGGAUAUGGGAAUAAAAGACUUGUACGAAAA